rnacentral:rRNA from 1 species
UCCUACGGGAGGCAGCAGUGAGGAAUAUUGCGCAAUGGGGGAAACCCUGACGCAGCGACGCCGCGUGGGCGACGAAGGCCUUCGGGUCGUAAAGCCCUUUUGGCAGGGACGAGUGAGGACGGUACCUGCCGAAUAAGUCUCGGCUAACUACGUGCCAGCAGCCGCGGUAAUA